CCUUACCAGGUCUUGACAUCCCUUGACAACUCCAGAGAUGGAGCGUUCCCUUCGGGGACAAGGUGACAGGUGGUGCAUGGUUGUCGUCAGCUCGUGUCGUGAGAUGUUGGGUUAAGUCCCGNAACGAGCGCAACCCUUAUUACUAGUUGCCAGCAUUUAGUUGGGCACUCUAGUGAGACUGCCGGUGACAAACCGGAGGAAGGUGGGGAUGACGUCAAAUCAUCAUGCCCCUUAUGACCUGGGCUACACACGUGCUACAAUGGCGUAUACAACGAGUUGCCAACCCGCGAGGGUGAGCUAAUCUCUUAAAGUACGUCUCAGUUCGGAUUGUAGGCUGCAACUCGCCUACAUGAAGUCGGAAUCGCUAGUAAUCGCGGAUCAGCACGCCGCGGUGAAUACGUUCCCGGGUCUUGUACACACCGCCCGUCACACCAUGAGAGUUUGUAACACCCAAAGCCGGUGGGGUAACCUUUUAGGAGCCAGCCGUCUAAGGUGGGACAGAUGAUUAGGGUGAAGUCGUAACAAGGUAAGCGUAGAUGA
rnacentral:rRNA from 1 species